GCCACAGUGGUCUAGCGGUUAGAACUCUGGCCUUGUGUUCCUGGGGUCUCGGGUUCGAUUCCCGGCGGUGCCC
rfam:Zootermopsis nevadensis contig14679, whole genome shotgun sequence.